CCAGACCAAGAACAGCCUGUUUCGCAGGCACCGCGUGGAUGAAAGUGACCUACAACUAAAGGUCUUAGUGCUGCCUUGUGUUCUAAAUAACCAGUAAGCCCCCCAUCCCACGCCGUCCUUAGAGCCAAACAGGACACUGGGAAGUUUCCUGCUAAUUCUUUGAAACUGAGUGGUAAGGGGCAACAGGAAGGAGUGUCAGGUUCAGCGGAGCAAGUAACAGAAUUUAAAAAUCCGCUGCAUUAAGACUGCACACCAAACUUGAUUUAAAAGCUGUUGAUACGCUCAGAAAGUCGUUUUACCAAAUCUGUUAAAAGAAAUUACAGUUCAGGCAUUUGCGUAUAUAUCCUCACUGUUAGACUCGCCUACUUUUUGGAGUUGUAACUUUAAAGACCUGUCUUCUCCACUUUUCUAACACGUUUACCAUACUGGCCAAACUCCAGAGUGUGCUUGCUAGCUAUCGUGGGUAUUCUAAUUUUUUGUUAAAACCCCCACCUAUCACUCACCCCUUGCAGGUGCAAGAAAUAAGGAUGAGAGGGCCUUUUAAAGUACAGAGAAACUUGAGCCUGUAUUCAAGAUGGAGACACGAAGUUACAAAUAUUUAAGUAUGUGUGGGGUCAUCAAGAGAUGGAAGUGUGGAAUACUACAAAGUUUAAAGUGUAACAAGUUUGUGACCUAUACUAAACUGUAAAUGAACAGAUGCAUAAAGAUGAAGAUUGUCUUCUCAUAAAUGUCUUUAAA